CAGUCGCCACGGUAAUACAGAGGGUGCGAGCGUUAAUUGGAUUUACUGGGCGUAAAGCGUGCGUAGGCGGCUUCUUAAGUCGGAUGUGAAAUCCCUGAGCUUAACUUAGGAAUUGCAUUCGAUACUGGGAAGCUAGAGUAUGGGAGAGGAUGGUAGAAUUCCAGGUGUAGCGGUGAAAUGCGUAGAGAUCUGGAGGAAUACCGAUGGCGAAGGCAGCCAUCUGGCCUAAUACUGACGCUGAGGUACGAAAGCAUGGGGAGCAAACAGGAUUAGAUACCCCUGUAGUCCCUGUCUCUUAUAC
rnacentral:rRNA from 1 species